CCUACGGGUGGCAGCAGUGGGGAAUAUUGGGCAAUGGAGGAAACUCUGACCCAGCAACGCCGCGUGAAUGAUGAAGGCCUUCGGAUUGUAAAGUUCUUUUCUCAGGGAAGAAGAUAGUCACGGUACUUAAGGAAUAAGCCUCGGAUAACUCCGUGACAGCCGCCGCGGUAAUACGUGGGAGGCACGCGUUAUGCGGAAUGACUGGGCGUAAAGGGUGUGUAGGUGGUUUGACAAGUUGGUAGCGUAACUCCGAGGCUUAACCUCGGCACUGCUACCGAAACUGUUUGUCUCGAGUGCAGGAGAGGCAAGUGGAAUUCCUAGUGUAGCGGUGAAAUGCGUAGAUAUUAGGAGGAACACCAGUGGCGAAGGCGGUUUGCUGGACUGUAACUGACGCUGAGGCACGAAAGCGUGGGGAGCAAACAGGAUUAGAUACCCCAGUAGUC
rnacentral:rRNA from 1 species